AGCUGCUUUACCUUGUUUUGCAAUCCAUGAUUAAAGACAGUUGUUUUACAAAUUCAGCCUUAAUAUAUUUUUGUAAGAUGUCGUUCUUCGUAGGUGAUCGUCUAAAUAUUAUUAUCAACUUGCGUACUUUUUUAAUGACUGGUCCAUAAUGAACUUCAUUCAAUUCAAUUUCAGAUCUUAAAGUUUCAUGAUUGUAGCCCAGUAAAUCUUCGUCUAUAUCCUCAUUCUCGGAUGACAAAAUGUCAAAAAACUCAUUUUCAAAUUUUGACUGAUUUGAAUCGAAUUCUCAUUUUUUAUAAAGAACAUCAAUUAAAGCAAGUUGUAUACCGUGAGCAAAACAUAAUUGUUGAUUUGUAGCUAGCAACUUUCGAACCUUUUUCAUAACACUAGCUUCGUCAGUCAUUAUAGCCGCAAUGUCACUGUGUAGAUCAAGGCAAUGGUCUUUAAGUUUUUUUUUCUAAUAGUUCAAUACACUUUUUUAUUCGCACUAAACCCAAACUCCAAAACUGAGACUUUUUUCCAUGAACGUUAAUAUUCAUAAAGCGACGGUUUCGAAGUCCAUUUUUCUAAAUACAAAGAAAAUUUCUAAUUCUGUAUUCUUAAGCGCUUUAAUUUGCUGAACUAAGCGUAAUCUUUCUUUUUUGCUGUACUCUUCUAAAUGAUUACGAAUUGUGUUUACUGACGUUAGUAGAUUUCCGAAUCCCAUAGCAGUUAAAACAGAACGUAAAUCUAUUGAAGUACAAAUCACAUUUAAUGAAAAUCCGUCAGACGCCUUUAGACAAGCAAGCGUAACGUGAAGUGUUUUAUCUUCCUUCUCAAAAAUUGAAAACUAUUCUGUUAGUGGUUUAGAUUUUUUUUUUGGUGGUUUAUCUGAUUUGUUUUCUCCGGUAAUAUUAGGUUGGGUUGGAUUUUCGACCAACUUCACAUUAUGCACCGACAAAAUUGGUAUAUAAAGUGCUUUUGUUGAACCAGUACAGAUUUUUGAAAUCUUCUUGCCAUUUGACAAUUUACACAGCGCUGUUUGCCCUUUCUCUUCUCGUAAAAAAUAUUUCUAAACAGCUGAGUUACUUUUAAUUGUAAAAUCCACAAACGCCAUGCUUAUUUAAGUUUUAAUUUUAAGAGUAAACCUUGUAAGAAACCCGCGUUUUUUUUUCAGUUUAAAAAAGUUUAUUUUGUAGAAUUACAGAACAAAAUAACUGAAAAUAGAAUUACUUUGGGUAAUAUUAUAAUAAAUAAAAAUUAUUAUAUUGAUGCGCAUAAAUUGUUGUUAUUUUUAUAUAUUUUUUAAUUCCCCCCUUUGUUUUGCUCGAUCGUAUUGGGAAUCCCGGAAUUGAUAUUUGACGAUCCUGGGAUUUCGUGAUUAUAAAAAAGGCCGGGAUCCCAGGAUUUUGGGAUCCCGGGAUUGCAAACCCUAUUGUUGACUUUAUUUUUUUUUUUUUUUAGGAGUUUAAUCAUUAUUUAAUAUUUUUUUCAAAUGAAAAAAAAACAAACUUUGUUGACUUUACAAUAAGAAUGCAAAAAGAAUAUAUUUUUGUUUACUUUGUAUAUUUCGCACUUUAUGUUUAUGAUAUUUAUGUUAGUAUAUCUUUACCACCAAUCUGUGAUUGUAACUUGUAAAUACUUUGUAGUUGUAAAAUAAACAUGUAAAAAAAAAAAAAAAUGUAGAUACUUGCAGAAGGUCAUAAGAUCUUUUCAUCGAGAACUGGUUAAAAAGAUUUUAAAUAAAAAAAUGUUUAAGAUGUUUUAAUUUGUAAUCAUACGGUUGCAACAUUUUAAAGUCAUCUUUUUAUAAUAAAAUGAUAAAUUUACUUGUCACAGCGUGACAUAUACUUUAUUUAGAAUCUGCUGUGAAUUAAAUUUUUAAUGGAAUUUCGGGCCAUAAUAAUUCAAGUAUCACAUGCUUUAAUAAAUAUAUUUUUAAAACGGAUGCAAGCACUAAAGAAGACAAUAACGUUUCAAAUUGAAGCAGAAAUUUAUAACGAAUCAUGUUGACGAUUGGAUAUGGAUCCCAGAAAAGCACCAUUGUCAAAUGGUUAUGACUCAAAUCUUUGUAUUAUAAUUUCUAUUUGUCGGGUUAAUAUAUUUUGAAAUUUAA